UUUAUGGAGAGUUUGAUCCUGGCUCAGGAUGAACGCUGGCGGCGUGCCUAAUACAUGCAAGUCGAGCGAACGGACGAGAAGCUUGCUUCUCUGAUGUUAGCGGCGGACGGGUGAGUAACACGUGGAUAACCUACCUAUAAGACUGGGAUAACUUCGGGAAACCGGAGCUAAUACCGGAUAAUAUUUUGAACCGCAUGGUUCAAAAGUGAAAGACGGUCUUGCUGUCACUUAUAGAUGGAUCCGCGCUGCAUUAGCUAGUUGGUAAGGUAACGGCUUACCAAGGCAACGAUGCAUAGCCGACCUGAGAGGGUGAUCGGCCACACUGGAACUGAGACACGGUCCAGACUCCUACGGGAGGCAGCAGUAGGGAAUCUUCCGCAAUGGGCGAAAGCCUGACGGAGCAACGCCGCGUGAGUGAUGAAGGUCUUCGGAUCGUAAAACUCUGUUAUUAGGGAAGAACAUAUGUGUAAGUAACUGUGCACAUCUUGACGGUACCUAAUCAGAAAGCCACGGCUAACUACGUGCCAGCAGCCGCGGUAAUACGUAGGUGGCAAGCGUUAUCCGGAAUUAUUGGGCGUAAAGCGCGCGUAGGCGGUUUUUUAAGUCUGAUGUGAAAGCCCACGGCUCAACCGUGGAGGGUCAUUGGAAACUGGAAAACUUGAGUGCAGAAGAGGAAAGUGGAAUUCCAUGUGUAGCGGUGAAAUGCGCAGAGAUAUGGAGGAACACCAGUGGCGAAGGCGACUUUCUGGUCUGUAACUGACGCUGAUGUGCGAAAGCGUGGGGAUCAAACAGGAUUAGAUACCCUGGUAGUCCACGCCGUAAACGAUGAGUGCUAAGUGUUAGGGGGUUUCCGCCCCUUAGUGCUGCAGCUAACGCAUUAAGCACUCCGCCUGGGGAGUACGACCGCAAGGUUGAAACUCAAAGGAAUUGACGGGGACCCGCACAAGCGGUGGAGCAUGUGGUUUAAUUCGAAGCAACGCGAAGAACCUUACCAAAUCUUGACAUCCUUUGACAACUCUAGAGAUAGAGCCUUCCCCU
rnacentral:rRNA from 1 species